rnacentral:rRNA from 1 species
GACGAACGCUGGCGGCGUGCUUAACACAUGCAAGUCGAACGAUGGAGAAGAGCUUGCUCUUCGGAUUAGUGGCGAACGGGUGAGUAACACGUGACUAACCUGCCCCUUUCUCUGGGAUAACGCUCCGAAAGGAGUGCUAAUACCGGAUACUCACAUCGAGGCACAUGCAUUGAUGUGGAAAGUUUUUCGGAAAGGGAUGGAGUCGCGGCCUAUCAGCUUGUUGGUGAGGUAACGGCUCACCAAGGCGACGACGGGUAGCCGGCCUGAGAGGGCGACCGGCCACACUGGGACUGAGACACGGCCCAGACUCCUACGGGAGGCAGCAGUGGGGAAUAUUGCACAAUGGGCGAAAGCCUGAUGCAGCGACGCCGCGUGAGGGAUGAAGGUCUUCGGAUUGUAAACCUCUUUCAGUAGGGACGAAGCGAAAGUGACGGUACCUAAAGAAGAAGCACCGGCUAACUACGUGUCAGCAGCCGCCGUAA